rnacentral:rRNA from 1 species
CUACCCGGGUAUCUAAUCCUGUUUGCUCCCCACGCUUUCGCACAUGAACGUCAGUAUUGGACCAGGAAGUCGCUUUCGCCACUGGUGUUCCUUCCGAUAUCUACGCAUUUCACCGCUACACCGGAAAUUCCACUUCCCUCUUCCAUACUCUAGCCAUGCAGUCUCAAAUGCAGUUCCCAGGUUGAGCCCAGGGAUUUCACAUCUGACUUACAAAACCGUCUACGCGCGCUUUACGCCCAGUAAUUCCGAUUAACGCUCGCACCCUCUGUAUUACCGCGGCUGCUGGCAC